UGGGGAAUUUUGGACAAUGGGCGAAAGCCUGAUCCAGCCAUGCCGCGUGAGUGAAGAAGGCCUUCGGGUUGUAAAGCUCUUUUAGUCGGAAAGAAAGAGUCGCAAUGAAUAAUUGUGAUUUAUGACGGUACCGACAGAAAAAGCACCGGCUAACUACGUGCCAGCAGCCGCGGUAAUACGUAGGGUGCGAGCGUUAAUCGGAAUUACUGGGCGUAAAGGGUGCGCAGGCGGUUUUGCAAGUCAGAUGUGAAAGCCCCGGGCUUAACCUGAGAAUUGCGUUUGAAACUACAAGGCUAGAGUGCAGCAGAGGGGAGUGGAAUUCCGAUGUGUAGCAGUGAAAUGCGUAGAGAUGUGGAAGAACACCGAUGGCGAAGGCAGCUCCCUGAGUUGACACUGACGCUC
rnacentral:rRNA from 1 species